rnacentral:rRNA from 1 species
UGCCAGCCGCCGCGGUAAUACAGAGGAUCCGAGCGUUAUCCGGAAUCAUUGGGUGUAAAGGGUCCGUAGGCGGGCGAUUAAGUCAGGGGUGAAAGUUUGCGGCUCAACCGUAAAAUUGCCUUUGAUACUGGUCGUCUUGAAUCGUUGUGAAGUGGCUAGAAUAUAUAGUGUAGCGGUGAAAUGCAUAGAUAUUACAUAGAAUACCGAUUGCGAAGGCAGGUCACUAACAACGCAUUGACGCUGAGGGACGAAAGUGUGGGGAGCGAACAGGAUUAGAUA